GUCACUCAGUCAACAUGUAUACUCCUUGACUGAGCAGUGUUUGAGUGGGCACCAAGCUUAGACAUGUGUGUAGGGAGGCAAUUAUAACUAGUUACAGCCAUCCUGCCUCUUCUGUCCUCCUCUCUUCCCCAGCCUUAGCCCCCCAGCCUCAUGGGGCCCAGAGUCCUCCUUCAGAUGAGGCCAGUGUCCCAGGCAACUACCUGACGUGGGAAAAGCUGCCGUCCUAGAGAUCAGAAAGAACCCACCAGUCAGGAACAGCAAUUCUGAUGAUGUCAGCUUCUAAGUUUUCAGAAGCGACAGCCUCUGGUGUUCUUACAGCAUCAGAAGAGCAGAAAAGCUGGCCACUUAUGAACCCACACAUUGUUACAGAGCAUCUCGGCUUUCUGCCAAGGAGCACCACUCAGGCUUUAAAGAUUUGUCCUUUGAUUUUACUUUUUAGGGCAUCUUGAGACAAUGUUCUGCCUACACAAAAUUCUAAACUGAGAGGAGUGGCUCAGAAGCUCUACUAACAUGGAAUCACAUGUGAUUCAAGAGAGUGCCAAAGGAAACAACAGGACAGAAGGAGACAUGAGGAAGAGAUGGGACAGACAGCACUCAACCCUGAGCAGACGUGAGGGGCAAAAGAAAAGGCAACAUUAAGGACCCAUUCAAGUUUCAAGUCUCAGCGUCCCAGAGGAUGCUGAAAUCUCUCAUCUAUGCUGACUCUACCUCCGAAUGCGUGACAGAACCAGCCAGGAAACAUUUCUCACAGAAAUAUGAAGCACUUGGAUUUGAAUUGUGUAAUUUCCCUUUAGAGGCCAUCCUUAAGAAUUGCGUGCCUUGCAUGUUGAAGAAUUUCUG
rnacentral:lncRNA from 1 species